rnacentral:lncRNA from 10 species
UGGUCAGCAUCAGCAGACGAAGCCAGGACGGACUGAAUCAGAAGGAAGAUGCGCUUCUCCACCCUGGCUGGACACAGCUGGGCUAUAUCCCCUAAGAUGGAGUCUCGCUCUGUCGCCCAGGCUGGAGUGCAAUGGCGCGAUCUCGGCUCACUGCAAGCUCCACCUCCCGGGUUCACACCAUUCUCCUGCCUCAGCCUCCCGAGUAGCUGGGACUACAUGGCAGGAUUGUAAAUGACAACCUAACAAUUAAAUAUGAUGAUAUUAAAUGAGCUAAAAUAUGCAAUAACUUAAUACCACUCAGAAAUAGAUAUUUCAAACCUUUUCAAAAUAAAAA